AUUGAACGCUGGCGGCAGGCCUAACACAUGCAAGUCGAACGGUAACAGGAAGCAGCUUGCUGCUUUGCUGACGAGUGGCGGACGGGUGAGUAAUGUCUGGGAAACUGCCUGAUGGAGGGGGAUAACUACUGGAAACGGUAGCUAAUACCGCAUAACGUCGCAAGACCAAAGAGGGGGACCUUCGGGCCUCUUGCCAUCGGAUGUGCCCAGAUGGGAUUGGCUAGUAGGUGGGGUAACGGCUCACCUAGGCGACGAUCCCUAGCUGGUCUGAGAGGAUGACCAGCCACACUGGAACUGAGACACGGUCCAGACUCCUACGGGAGGCAGCAGUGGGGAAUAUUGCACAAUGGGCGCAAGCCUGAUGCAGCCAUGCCGCGUGUAUGAAGAAGGCCUUCGGGUUGUAAAGUACUUUCAGCGGGGAGGAAGGGAGUAAAGUUAAUACCUUUGCUCAUUGACGUUACCCGCAGAAGAAGCACCGGCUAACUCCGUG
rnacentral:rRNA from 1 species